GAUGAACGCUGGCGGCGUGCCUAAUACAUGCAAGUCGAGCGAACAGACGAGGAGCUUGCUCCUCUUACGUUAGCGGCGGACGGGUGAGUAACACGUGGAUAACCUACCUAUAAGACUGGGAUAACUUCGGGAAACCGGAGCUAAUACCGGAUAAUAUAUUGAACCGCAUGGUUCAAUAGUGAAAGACGGUUUUGCUGUCACUUAUAGAUGGAUCCGCGCCGCAUUAGCUAGUUGGUAAGGUAACGGCUUACCAAGGCAACGAUGCGUAGCCGACCUGAGAGGGUGAUCGGCCACACUGGAACUGAGACACGGUCCAGACUCCUACGGGAGGCAGCAGUAGGGAAUCUUCCGCAAUGGGCGAAAGCUUGACGGAGCAACGCCGCGUGUGUGAUGAAGGUCUUCGGAUCGUAAAACUCUGUUAUUAGGGAAGAACAAAUGUGUAAGUAACUAUGCACGUCUUGACGGUACCUAAUCAGAAAGCCACGGCUAACUACGUG
rnacentral:rRNA from 1 species